GUUAAUCAUAUUCGAGGCAGCGCCACUAACUCAAGAUUAUUCAAAGUUUUGUGCGAUGAAGUUGGUGCUACAUUUAAUGCUCUUUUGUACCAUACAGAGGAUAAAAUCGCAAGUUUUUUGCGCAAAUUGGAACUUUACCAACGCAGAGUUCAAGCUGGUGAUGUGUCAAUGUUUACACAGCUAAGUGAGCAAUUAGCAAAUAAUAAUACAUACAAUAAAUAUAAACAAGAGAAAAUCACGUUUGAAAAUUCCGUGGUUCAACAUUUAACUGCCGUGAUAGACUCACUGCAGCAAUAUUUUCCGAACAUGGACAGUCGUGAGUCCUACUCCUGGAUUUUAAGACCAUUUUCUACUUGCGUCGAUAUUUUCAAGGACGAAGAUGUGUCAGCGAAAGUAGAGUUUCUCGGGCUGCGUGAGAAUAACUCAUUGAAAGUUGAUUUUCAAAAUGAUAAACUAAGCACAUUUUGGCGAAAAGCAGCUGCAGAAUAUCCCAUUAUAGCUGACAGAGCUUUUAAAAUGUUGAUUCCAUUUGCUACAACUUACAGAUGUGAAACUGGUUUCUCAACUCUUGUUACAUUAAAACAAAAGCCAGAAACCGUCUGAAUGUUGAGCAUGACAUGAGAUGCGCGUUGAGUGAAACCGAACCUAAUAUUGUCAAACUUGCGAAUGCAAAGCAAUUUCAACCUUCACACUAGUUAACUCCAAGAUUUACAUAUUACUUUACUUGACUAGUUACCUAAACGUGCAAUUUCUUAGAAUUUAGUUAGAUAAUAAACAUAUUUUCGUUCGAA
rnacentral:lncRNA from 1 species